GAUGAACGCUAGCGGCAGGCCUAAUACAUGCAAGUCGAACGGGAUUGAGGAGCUUGCUCCUCAUGAGAGUGGCGCACGGGUGCGUAACACGUAUGUAACCUACCUUAAUCAGGGGAAUAGCCUCUCGAAAGAGAGAUUAAGACCGCAUAAAAUCACACUAUGGCAUCAUAGAAUGAUCAAAUAUUUAUAGGAUUAAGAUAGGCAUGCGGAACAUUAGCUAGUUGGUAAGGUAACGGCUUACCAAGGCUACGAUGUUUAGGGGAUCUGAGAGGAUGGCCCCCCACACUGGUACUGAGACACGGACCAGACUCCUACGGGAGGCAGCAGUAAGGAAUAUUGGUCAAUGGGCGGAAGCCUGAGCCAGCCAUGCCGCGUGCAGGAAGACGGCCCUACGGGUUGUAAACUGCUUUUGUACCGGAAUAAACCUACUUACGUGUAAGUAGCUGAAUGUACGGUAAGAAUAAGGAUCGGCUAACUCCGUGCCAGCAGCCGCCGCGG
rnacentral:rRNA from 1 species